GGAUGAUGAUGCACCACAACGAGAACAUCCUACUGAGCCUGCAGAGGUCACUCCCGAGGAAGAAACUCCAGGAGAACCUGAAAUUCAACUUGGGGAACAAAUUACUGCAGCUCAGUUAAUGCAAGUACUGGUUCAACAACAAGUAGCUGCAAGGAAAGAUAUGAGGAGGAUAUUGGAGGUGCAACAGGGACAACAACAACAGAUCAUACAACAAAUAUUUCAGGAGCGACAGUCCC
rnacentral:lncRNA from 1 species